ACCCUUUGGAGACGUUGGAUUUGCAUUUACAUACACACACUUUUAAUGUAUACUUUUUUUUUAACCUUAAGAAUCUUCUGAAGAUGAAUUGACAUAGAUCAUUCUUUCAGAAACUGAUAGCAUCCAGAAAAAUCCUAGUCCAUCAUUGAAUGAUUCAGGACCAAAUCCUGAGUAUUGUGAAAAUAUUAUUUCUCAGCUUGGUCUGAUUAUGAAAGGCAAGGCUCUCAUCUUCAGUACUUUUUGGGUAUUUGCAUUUUGAUGUUUGCAGAUGUAAUGCAUUCAUCAGGGGGACAUGAUGACGUCUCGAAAUGUUUUCGGGUUGAAAACCUCAUAAAAAAGAAAAGACAGAGCUAAUGGAGCAUAAUUCCAUGGCCGGAAAAAAACAUGAAAAAGAAGGAUUCUUCUAAAACAAUGCUUUCAGCCCUAGAAGGAAGUAAAAAAUAUCAAAGCAGAACUUUCUAUGUAACCUAAAUCCCCCAGAUUCAAAUUUAGUAAAAGGAGUUCACUUUUUGUGGUAGAAAGUGGUGCUUCUGAGCCCAGUAUGGAAAUCAGUACAAAAAAAAGAGUAAGAUUUCAUUUAUUACGACCUGUGGUAAACUUCUGCAGCUGAAUUCUGUUACUCAAUCCAGUGAGAACACAAAUUUUUAAACAUUUAAGGGGAAUUGCAUUAAGUUUUCUGUAACUGUGUCUUCCACAACCUUGCUUGGUAGCACAUGCAAUCUUAUUUAUAUUUUUCUCCCUUGUUUCUCUGGAGGAUUAAAUAUCCAUGAACAGAAAAGUUCAUUAUUUCUGUAUAAAGUAAGUUUUAAAAACUAGUUACUUACUCCUCGCUGUCCCUUCUGUUUCUUCCUUUGACUUUUGUUUAUUUGUUUGUUUGGUUUUUUUUUGUUUGUUUGUUUUGUUUUGUUUUUUGAGACAGGGUUUCUCUGUAGCCCUGGCUGUCCUGGAACUCACUUUGUAAAUCAGGCUGACCUCAAACUCAGAAAUCCACCUGCCUCUGCCUCCCAAGUGCUGGGAUUAAAGGCGUGCGCCACCAUGCCCAGCUUUUCCUUUGACUUUUAAGGGAGUAGUUGAGUUUAAACACCUCAUUGUAAUAAUCACUAAUUUAAACUAAUUAAUAAGCAAUGGCAAAAUAACUAUAAUUGUAGGGUAUAAACACACAGGUUAGUAAUAGAUAAAUAUUAGGUGUGCCUUGUUAAAUUUCUUCAAAGGAAAAAGUUGAAUUUUAAGGCUGAAUCAAACGCUAUCCAUGUGUUUUGCAGUGUGCCGAAGUAGUUUUUAUUUCACCAACUGCUCAGCAGAUUAUUAUGAACACUCUCACACCACAAAAAGGGGGGAGUUAAUUUAUUCUUUUUCUUUUUUUCUAAUAAAUGAGGAGAGAUUGACUUUAGGAACAGUUGAUUGACAGCCAUGUAGAGUAAAACCAGAAUGCAGUUCUUCUGUCCUCCGGUACACUCUCCUCAUGCGUCCAUUCUCUUUAGACACAAAUUCCCAAAGAACCUGACACUAUCAAGGCAAGGCUGAACCAUACCACCCAGUCUCACACGAUUAGUCUUGACUUCACGUGGCUGACCAAGAUGAAGAGUGUGAUUUUUAAACUUCACUUUGACCAAGCGAUUGUUCCCAACAGAAUUUCUUCCAUCAUACUCCACUCACGAGUAUUGCCAAGGAAAUGUUCUGUAGCAUUGGUUCCCUUCCCCCACUUUGAGUUGGUGUGUAUGUGGAGCAGGGUGGGACAUGAAAAUAUUCAUUUACCCACUGAGCCAUCUCCCCAGCUAAUAUAGAAGAAGUUCUUAAAGUGUGAUUUUGAUGAGACGAAUGGGUCAAUAUCAUGGGUGAACUUGGUGAAAAAAUGCAAAUUCUGUAACCUCAUCUCAGACAUAGUAAAUCAGAAAUUUAGGAGUAGGCCACACCAGUCUGCUUUCAUUAACCCUCUAUGUGAUUCACAUAUAAGCUAAAAGUCGGAGGGCCAACUUAAAACCUUAGUCCCUGCAAUUAGAAUUUAGGCUAAGUAUGACUUAAUUCCUACGCCCCCCCCUCCCCAGAUUAUCUCAGGAACUAAUACAGCAUUUAUGGUACUUAAUAAAUGCUUUUAUUUAUAUGUGCACCUCUGUCUUGGCUACCUGAGAUAGUAUGGUACAAUCUUCAGGAUGUGGGCUCCAAAGAGCUCCUGUGAGUUAUGACACUGGCUCUAUUACUUAUAAGUUACAACCACUUAGGGAAGUUGCUGCGUGGAAGCGAUGGUAUGAGAGCCAAAACCUCUUUGGAUCACUGUGAAAAAGAAGUUAAGCCAACUAACAAUUUCAGUAGAGUCAAACUCCACGGGAAGUGCCUAUGAUGUUUUAAAUAUGAAUUUUAUCAUCCAGAGCACAGCGAUCAGCAUAGUGAAUAAGUAAAUAUUGUUUUUGAAAAUGAAAUGUUUUAAUCAAGGACUUUGAAUAUGAUCUUGUGGCGAAACAGCCAUGGUGGAUGACUUCCCAGGUGCAGUGUGUUCGGUCCAUGGCUCUUUAGCCUUUCAUUCUAAAUGUUUAUUUUGUCUUAAUAAAACUAUUUGUUAAUAACUAAAGGCAAGCCCCAAAAGAAUGUUGUUCUAGAUAACUUAUUCAAAAGUGAUCUUCAUUUUUUUCUCUAAAACUAUCACAUUUACAUGUGAAGAAAAUGAAUUACUUAAGUAUCUGGUUAUCUUCACAGAGUUUCUCAUCUAUUCUUGUUAAUAUACUGGCAUAUUGCUAUCCUUCCUAAGAAAGAAAAGAAGAAAUUCAACAAGUGAAUUCAAUAUUCAUCAUCUAAUAUCACAUUCUAUCCUAUCCUUG
rnacentral:lncRNA from 1 species